rnacentral:rRNA from 1 species
GGGCCCGCACAAGCGGUGGAGUAUGUGGUUUAAUUCGAUGCAACGCGAAGAACCUUACCAGGGCUUAAAUGUAACGGGACAGAUCUAGAGAUAGAUCCUUCUUCGGACUCAUUACAAGGUGCUGCAUGGUUGUCGUCAGCUCGUGCCGUGAGGUGUCAGGUUAAGUCCUAUAACGAGCGCAACCCCCCAUCGUUAGUUGCCAACGAGUAAUGUCGGGAACUCUAACGAAACUGCCGGUGCAAACCGUGAGGAAGGUGGGGAUGACGUCAAAUCAUCACGGCCCUUACGUCCUGGGCUACACACGUGCUACAAUGGUCGGUACAGAGAGCAGCCACUACGCGAGUAGGAGCAAAUCUUCAAAGCCGAUCUC